UAUCUUGAUACAAAAAAUAUUUCAGCUAGGAAAUACUAGGAAAUAGCAGCUCUUGUUAAUAUGAAUUUCUACAACAGAAAAUCCCAUCAAGUGUUAGCCAAUGGAUAUCCAAUCUUGGGACAAUUUUUUCCAGCAAAGCCUAAGCCAUACUCUUCGAGUCUUCCCUGCAAGCAGACUUUUUUCCUUAAGAUC